UUGUAGAAGUCUUGGGAGUUAAUCCUUACAUUAAAUCUGCAUUUAUCUCAUUUCCAAAAUGUACUUCAUAUAGUAUGAUGAAAUAUUCAUUAACUGUGGCUUUAGAUUAUUGUAUGAUUCGAAUAUAAAAUAUGCAGGUUAAGAGAUAUAAAUGCAUUUUAUUACCUUUGACCAAAAAAAAAAAAUAGAAAUCUGAUGAGCUCAUCUGAUUGAUAAGCUGAGUGUGGUUGCUGAUAAUCAGAAGGAUAUUUACUUUGCUUUGUAUAUUGAGCAUGGUUCAUGUUUAGAAACACUGCUUCUUUAUUUCCAUGACUGUCAUCUUUAGUGGGCAAUUUUUCAAAUGAUUGUGUCACAACCCUAGUCUACAUACUGUAGACCUAAGUUGGUUUUGUGUCUUUACUCAAGAUUGCUAUAGAAUUCAAGAAAUCUUUAGAACUAUCUGUCAUUACUGCUACAUUGGGCGGGGGUAAUCCAUUGUGUUUUUCCAAUAAUAAAUAGAAUUCAGAUUGUUAUAAAACCAUAAAUGCAAAUAUGGAGAUUCAAAGGUAACAGAUCCAGGAGCCCUACCAAUGUAACAAAAGGCAAAUAAACAUAGCCAGCUACUUGACAAUGAGGUCAAUAAUGAUGAUGAUUUCAAGGUUAAAUCAGGACUGGUAAGAAUGGAGAGUAGGAGAGUUAUUUCUCUACAGGAGUAAAUUUCAGAGGACAGAAUCAUUUGUUGAAGAGAAGGAAAAGGAGUGAGUGUUAACACAUCCAGCAUAAAGAGGGGACAAAAUGAAGGGCUUCCUCUUAUCAAUGGAGAAAGGAACUGGAAACGCAUAGCAUUUAAGAGCAGAACAUAGACUCCAUUUACACUUAAGAGUUGUUAGUCCUCUGACCCUGGGAAUACAGAACUACAUGCAGUCUUGCUGUACCUGUGGCUAUCA